rnacentral:rRNA from 1 species
AACGAACGCUGGCGGCGUGCCUAACACAUGCAAGUCGAGCGGGAAAGUUCCCUUCGGGGAGCGAGUACAGCGGCGAACGGGUGAGUAACACGUAGGUAACCUACCCUGGAGUCCGGGAUAACCUGCCGAAAGGCGGGCUAAUACCAGAUAAGACCACGAGGGCUGCGGCCCUUGGGGCAAAAGAUGGCCUCUGCUUGCAUGCUAUCACUCCGGGAUGGGCCUGCGCGCCAUUAGCAGUUGGU